rnacentral:tRNA from 1 species
UGUAGCUCAGUGGUAGAGUACUUGCCUGACAUUCACAAGGCCCUGGGUUCAAAACCCAGCA